rnacentral:rRNA from 1 species
AGAGUUUGAUCAUGGCUCAGAGUGAACGCUGGCGGCAGGCCUAAUACAUGCAAGUCGAACGGCAGCACAGCAGAGCUUGCUCUGUGGGUGGCGAGUGGCGGACGGGUGAGGAAUACGUGGGAAUCUGCCCAGUCGUGGGGGAUAACGUAGGGAAACUUACGCUAAUACCGCAUGCGCCCUUCGGGGGAAAGCCGGGGACCUUCGGGCCUGGCGCGAUUGGAUGAGCCCACGUCGGAUUAGCUAGUUGGCGGGGUAAAGGCCCACCAAGGCGACGAUCCGUAGCUGGUCUGAGAGGAUGAUCAGCCACACUGGAACUGAGACACGGUCCAGACUCCUACGGGAGGCAGCAGUGGGGAAUAUUGGACAAUGGGCGCAAGCCCCGAUCCAGCCAUGCCGCGUGAGUGAUGAAGGCCUUAGGGUUGUAAAGCUCUUUUGUCCGGGAAGAUAAUGACUGUACCGGAAGAAUAAGCCCCGGCUAACUUCGUG